rnacentral:rRNA from 1 species
UACGUAGGUGGCGAGCGUUGUCCGGAAUUACUGGGUGUAAAGGGCGUGUAGGCGGGGAUGUAAGUCAGGUGUGAAAUACCAAGGCUUAACUUUGGGGCUGCAUCUGAAACUAUGUUUCUUGAGUGCUGGAGAGGAAAGCGGAAUUCCAAGUGUAGCGGUGAAAUGCGUAGAUAUUUGGAGGAACACCAGUGGCGAAGGCGGCUUUCUGGACAGUAACUGACGCUGAGGCGCGAAAGCGUGGGGAGCAAACAGG